AUAAUAAUUACAUAUCACAAUAUUAUGUACAUAACAACUAGUUUCUGAUAAUCAGACAAUGGUACGUAUGAUAGAACCCAUAGAUCUGUGAUGGCAAAUUUCUCUAUGAAAACUACUGAGUAUGUUCUUGUCAUAUUACACAUAUUUUAAGUACUAAGGUUUAGUCAAUUAAGUAAAAAUUAUACAAAACGGUGUAGAAUAACAAGGAAAAAUUAUGCGGUGCUAAUUAGUGAUAUGCCUGUAAUGCAUCUAAAGCUAUUUAGUUAGAAAAGGUGUAGCUCUCAAAAAAGUCUGGAAUGUAUGCGCACUUUUACAGGUACAAUCAAUGACCACAACUAUAAUUCUAUAUUAGCCAUAACUACCAAUAGCUUAACAAAUUGGACUUCUCUUUUAUCAAUUGUUUUAGUAGUAAUGUACAUGUUAUCGUUGACAAAAAAUUUGGACUUUACCUGUUUCAUACUUAUCACCCCUACAUUUCCAAAAUUCGUUUUUAGUUUGAACCGCAAUAAAACAAUGUAUAUUUAAGUUAUGAAACGUGGCGAUAUGAUUUAUCUAAUGAUAUGAUUUCCUAGAUAAAUGAUUGCUAGUAAAAUAAUGAUUAAUUCCGAAAAGUACAAAAA